rnacentral:misc_RNA from 1 species
GAUGAAGAACGUAGCGAAAUGCGAUAAGUAAUGCGAAUUGCAGAAUCCGUGAGUCAUCGAAUCUUUGAACGCACAUUGCGCCCUCUGGUAUUCCGGAGGGCAUGCCUGUUCGAGCGUCAUUAUCACCCCUCAAGCCCGGCUUGUUGUUGGAUGCAGCACUUAUCCCGCUCCUCCCAAAGAUAAUGACGGCGUCUGCGACGACUCCUGUACACUGAGCUUUCGGGCACGUACACGGCUAGAAGUCCAGACCCGGUCGCCGUCCCCCCCGCGGACACCCAUUACCACAAGGUUGACCUCGGAUCAGGUAGGAAUACCCGCUGAACUUAAGCAUAUCAAUAAGCGGAGGA